GACGGAGGGGGCAAGCGUUGUCCGGAAUCACUGGGCGUAAAGCGCACGUAGGCGGGACGGUGCGUCGGUGCUGAAAGCGCCAGGCUUAACCUGGCGAGGCGUGCCGAUACGACCGACCUCGAGGCAGACAGAGGGUGGCGGAAUUCCGGGUAUAGUGGUGAAAUGCGUAGAGAUCCGGAGGAACGCCGGUGGCGAAAGCGGCCACCUGGGUCUGACCUGACGCUGAGGUGCGAAAGCGUGGGGAGCAAACCGG
rnacentral:rRNA from 1 species